rnacentral:misc_RNA from 1 species
CCAAUAGCGUAUAUUAAAGUUGUUGCAGUUAAAAAGCUCGUAGUUGAAUUUCGGGAUCAAAUUGUCGGUCGUGCCUCGGUACGUACUGGCGUUAUUGGUUCCUCCCUUCUGAAGAACCGCGAUGUCAUUAAUUUGGUGUCGCGGGGAAUCAGGACUGUUACUUUGAAAAAAUUAGAGUGUUUAAAGCAGGCUCGCGCUUGAAUACAUUAGCAUGGAAUAAUGAAAUAGGACGUUUGAUUCUAUUUUGUUGGUUUCUAGGAUCGACGUAAUGAUUAAUAGGGAUAGUUGGGGGCAUUAGUAUUCAAUUGUCAGAGGUGAAAUUCUUGGAUUUAUUGAAGACUAACUACUGCGAAAGCAUUUGCCAAGGAUGUUUUCAUUAAUCAAGAACGAAAGUUAGGGGAUCGAAGACGAUCAGAUACCGUCGUAGUCUUAACCAUAAACUAUGCCGACUAGGGAUCGGAUGAUGUUAAUUUUUUAAUGACUCAUACGGCGCCUUACG